rnacentral:lncRNA from 1 species
AACCCCAAAUGGUAACAAAAGAAAUCCCCAAGGUAUAAACAUACCACACACGCCCACGCUAGACAAACAAGUACUCACACCAAAACAAAGAAUAAGGUGAACACACGCAAACAACACAGCAAAAAGGAAAAAGGGUAAACACACACACAAAAAAACAAAAGGGUGACUCAAACAGAGACUCAAAAAAAGAAAAGGGUGAACAAACACACGAAAACAAAACAGCAAAAAG